rnacentral:rRNA from 1 species
ACGUAGGUGACGAGCGUUAUCCGGAUUUACUGGGCGUAAAGCGCUUGUAGGUGGUUUUGUAAGUUGGACGUUAAAUCUCCAGGCCCAACUUGGAGAGGCCGUUCAAUACUGCAAGACUAGAGGAUGUCAGAGGAAGGUGGAAUUCCAGGUGUAGUAGUGAAAUGCGUAGAUAUCUGGAGGAACACCAUGGCGAAGGCAGCCUUCUGGGACAUUCCUGACACUGAGAAGCGGAAGCUAGGGGAGCAAACAGGAUUAGAAACCCUGGUAGUCCUAGCUGUAAACGAUGAAUACUAGGUGUUGGUGGCUUUAACCCCACCAGUGCCGAAGCUAACGCGUUAAGUAUUGCGCCUGGGAAGUACGAUCGCAAGAUUA